GGUCCUACCCCGUGGUUUGUGGAGGUUUGUGCCUCCGAGCCGGGCUCGCUGUGGUGCUGAUGGGCUGGGGGAGCCCUCGCUGGGAUUGCUGCGCUGUUCUGGGCCUGUACUCAACAGUGCAGCUGCUUUUUUUUUAGUUUUUAUUUUAAAGAAAGUGUAGUUCAGCUGCCUCAGAGCUCCGGGUUGUCCUGCAGACGCAUUCCCUGGGAGAGACUCUAAUGGAUCAGAAGGUAUGGAGACCUCCUUUGCCAAGGACUGCAUGAAAGCUGCUUUAGGAGGUCACUGCUUCAUUGUUACUCAUCCUGCAAAAACUCUGCUUGAUCUCAAAACCACUCAAAGCUGGAGCAGAAAGAGCACAAGAUCCGAAUUUUUAGCUUGUUGAAAUUGGCUCAAGCGUCUUGAUUUCAGUGGAAAUUCACUCGUUUGCACCAGUAGGGAAAUUGGCGUCCACUCUGUUGUUUUUUCUAAGGAUGUUUGAGGAGAGUGUAAAUUCAAGAGUGCUGAUUAAGAAUUACAGACACCCUGGCAUGUUUUGAUUUACUGGGGACUGCAGCGCUCAAAUGUUCUUGUUGUGAUGAAUAGCAAGGUUCAUCAAGGUUGCUCUAGCGAGGCAACCUCAAGAGCGUUCCUGUGAUGGCAGCUUCACUUACUCCUCUGAAGAGGAAAGCUAUAUAUAAACAGGGCUCAUUCUUAAGCUGGAUGAACUCUUCUGACUCUGAGGGAGCUGGCUGAUUUGUCUCAGCCAUGGGUCUGGACCUUCCUUUGCCUUGCCUUUCCCUGGGUUAUCUGAACACAGCAGUUUACCUGUGCCACCCAUAUCCAGAGGUGCUCUUGGGCCGUGGUACCAAGCAGGCUCAGGAAAUGGCACCACCCUUAUGCAGGUGGGGUGAGGUUCUGUGGUCUUCCUGGUUUUGGGGAGAUGCCCCAAGCAUCCUUACUCUGUCAGUAAAAGGAUCCUGUUACUGCUGAAAUCAUCCACUGCUGCAGCUUUUCAUCUCUUUCCUCCAAGGAUCUCAGUUUAUUUUUCAAAGCUGUUGAACUUCAAGUUAUGGUGCAGCAAUAUACAGCCAGGAUUUUUAGUUUAACUUUCUUCCUUUUUGAGUUUUGGUUAGAGUCCUGUGUCAACAGUCCUUUGUUUUAAAAUAAAGGCAUUCUGAAAUUGUCUACUCACAAUGCUCUUUUCAGCCCUUCAGCUGAUAAAAUUCUCCAGAUAUCUCUCUCCUGGCACUUAAUGUCUGAUGGAGGAAUUAUGUGAAGAUCGGUGAAAAGCUGGGGACACCCUGGUGCAAAAUAAAAUGAGCUUUGGAACAUCUCAAUGGAUGGAACUGGAACAUUCUCCAGAUUUUCUGGAAUUAUUGGCUGCGGCAGCGUUAUUUCAUCAAGAGAUGGAUUUUUUGCUCUUAAUUAGCCAACUUGCCACCAGGGAUACUUCAGUCAUGGGUGUGAAAAAGCCUCCAGCGAAAGAUUGUUCGAUGGGAUUAAAAAAAAAAAAUGACGUAUCAGUGACUUGGGGAUAAUUGGCAGCUUCGGUGACGGUACGCUGGCUCUAGCAGUGACAGUAGGUUCUGGUGUAAUAUCAGUACCUGCUUCUGUCUGCUUUCCAGCUGGCUCACUGCAGGCUCAACAGGAGCAGUUCUGUGUAACACCGUGUGCCGUCGAAUGCUGGGGGUGGGGAGCUGCUCCCCAGCUUUUCUGCUUGUCACUGGUGAGCUACAGAGCUUUCCUGAGGCGCGGGUUUUUUGUUCUCCUCAGCAAGAAUGCACCUUCUCUACCCAUC